rnacentral:rRNA from 1 species
UACGUAGGUAGCGAGCGUUAUCCGGAAUUAUUGGGCGUAAAGAGCGCGCAGGUGGUUGAUUAAGUCUGAUGUGAAAGCCCACGGCUUAACCGUGGAGGGUCAUUGGAAACUGGUCGACUUGAGUGCAGAAGAGGGAAGUGGAAUUCCAUGUGUAGCGGUGAAAUGCGUAGAGAUAUGGAGGAACACCAGUGGCGAAGGCGGCUUCCUGGUCUGUAACUGACACUGAGGCGCGAAAGCGUGGGGAGCAAACAGGAUUAGAUACCCUU